GUUCACCCUUUCAUCCCCCCCACUUCCCCUCCCCAUCCCCCACCAGUCCGUCCUGUCCAGGAUUCCACCUCUCCGCUCAACGAGAAAAGUUGACACAACUCUGUGCUGUUACACAUGUUUCCUGCCAUCUCUCCUAUGGACUGCCUCAAGUUCCCUCAGGAGUGUCCUGCCAGGCAACGCUGACGAGCUAGCACAGCAGUGGAGAUGCAAGGCUCCCUGCAUCUGGUCCUGUAUGAGAAGAGCUGUGCCAGUCCCUCUCAAUGUGGUUUAUCUGGGGAGAAACACGCUGCAUGCUUGAACUUCACCUUCCAAAAUGACCGCUGUGACACGGACCUGUGCAACGAGGCUAUGGCCCAUGCUGCCCCCAUCUGGAGGGGAGGUGCACUGUGCAUCCUAGUUAUUUUCUCUCUCAUACUAAGCUGAUAUCCAAAUGUAUUGCAUUUUAUAUGUACAUUCCUCAUCAUACAGUAACACGCACAACCUAUACUGUAAAGGGGUGAAUCACACACACACACACACACACACGCAUCCUAAACAGUAGUGCACAGUCAGUCACCUGAGGGUAGAAAUGAGUCAUAUGUCUAUUGAGACAUAUCACAGUGUUAAAAUGACAAUGAAACUAGUGGCGAAACAUAAUCCAUAUGUUGAUAAAAUCUGCAUUCAUUUAUAAGAACAUUUGUUUAAAUAAGGGUUAAUAUGGCUUUCUAACUAUUCUACUCUUCUAUGGUGCUAUAUUUAGCAUAACUGUUGAAAAAGGAUUGGCAGCCAUUAAUAAACAAACAAGUAAAGAAACAGUAACCAAUUGUGGUUUUAUUUUGACCGUCUUUUCAGGAUGAUUAAAACCUACAAAAGAAAUACUAAGUUUGAUUGUCAUUGACUCAAUGUACGCAACAUAAUCUAGGUUAAGUGCUAUUUUUCCCUUCGAAUAAAAUUGAAGGUGAAGUAAAGGGCUGAAAUACAUGGAGGAAAGAAUGCAUCAAAAGUUAGGAAGAAAAUAAACAACAAAAAUGAAGA